AUAAAUGAAAUGUCACCUUGUUCUAAAAGAACAUAGAAUCAGACUCAGUUGUUUAGAUGAGUGAAAUUUCUCACAUAAAUCUUUGUAUGUUGUAUUGUACAUAAGAAAAAGAAAGGUUUCAAAUCAAUGGACAAGGGUAACACUCUCAUACUCAGUUUUCAUGUGGCGACGGCCCCAUCAACCAAACGAAAUCGGCUUCCUGCACGCGCCAAAGCACAAGCACAUCAACUCCAAGAAAUAAGGGUGUGCACCAACCGUACCUGUCGCAGACAAGGAUCCUUUCAAACCCUAGAAACCCUCUCUGGCAUCGCUCCUCCAAACGUCGCCGUAAAGUCUUGUGGCUGCUUGGGGCGGUGCGGCUCCGGCCCCAACCUGGUGGGCCUUCCUGAUGGAAUUAUGGUUGGCCAUUGUGGGACGGCUGCUCGGUGUUUGGAGGUCAUGAUAAGUCUGUUUGGUGUUGGAGAUAAUUCCAAGAGUAGUUUGGAUGCUCUUGCUUUGAGGAAGAGGGCGGAUCUUGAGUUUGAGAAACGAAAUUUCACUGAGGCCGAGCUUUUGCUUUCACAGGCUAUAGAUUUAAAACCAUUUGGUGGCAUACAUGUCACAUUUAAAUGCAGGUCAUUAGUGAGGCUAGAGUUGGGCAACUAUUCAGGUGCCCUCCAAGAUGCUAAGGAAGCGUUGAUAUUAGCUCCUGGGUAUACAGAGGCUUAUAUAUGCCAAGGCGAUGCCUUUUUGGCAUUGAACAUAUUUGAUUUGGCAGAGCACUCAUAUUUAGCAUCUCUAGAUAUCGAUCCUUCGAUCCGUCAUUCUAAAUCAUUCAAGGCUCGAAUAACAAGGCUUCAGGAAAAACUAGCUUGUGUUAAUACAUCAUAGGAUCUGGCUUGUGAAUUCAAUUGUAGUGAUGACAAGAGGAAUGUUAUUAUUAUCGUUGACAGGAGAAGUAAAAGAAUAAGUGAAACUUUUUGGUGCAAAGAACUUUGAAGUCAAGUGGUGAAGUCAUGGUCCAUCCUGAUCAAGAAAAUGAAAGAAAAUAAGUUCCAGCAAGAAUUACGGUCUGAUUGUAAUGGCUGAACGAGAACAAAAAGCAAUAAUUUGCCACUCUAUGGCAACAAGGAUUACUAUUUGGCAGUAAUGGUCAACCGUCGUAAUGUGCUCAUCUUCUAUUGCUGAACCAUUUUUCUUUUGUGAAAUUUUGAUGAUUUCUUGUAAUUAAAGCUUAUGAAGGCAACUAGAGUUAUAUAAAAGGACGAAAAUACUCAGGUUUUGACACAGAUACCUACUCACAAUAUUUUGCUACUA